CUGGUUCCCAAAGCUUUUACACUUCCUCCCAGUAAUGAUUUAAUGGGAUUGACUCCCAAAGCAGAAAUUAAAAGUGUCUUCUCGAUUGUCUUUGGUGUUGUUCUUCCGGCUCUCAGUGACUCCUGUCUGUGCCAGCGUGCCAACCUGCCAGGGGUGAAGAUGCUGCGCUCCAACGCAGAGGGAGCGUCCCUGAAAGGCUGCAACUCUGAGGACCCAUCAGGCCUUAAAGCUAAUCUGGAAGGUGCCAACCUGAAAGGAGUGGCCAUGGAGGGCAGUCAGAUGACAGGAAUUAACCUCCGAGUUGCAACGCUGAGAAACGCCAAACUAAAAAACUGUAACCUCAGGGGAGCAACGUUGGCAGGAACUGAUUUGGAAGUUGUGACCUCCAGGAAGCCAAUUUGAGGGGCUCUGAUGUGAAAGGAGCCAUCUUUGAAGAGAUGCUGACCCCCCUGCACACGUCCCAGAGCGUCAGAUAGGGAAGAGAAAAGGUCAAAGAGGAAGGAAUCCAAACAUUUGUUGUGACUUUCUUCACCUCCUCCUCUUCCUGAGUUAGAAGGAAUGGUUAUUAGACAACUUCCAUUUGCA